rnacentral:lncRNA from 1 species
ACAUCUGCACAGGGAAGAGUGACAGUGUCAGUCCUGUACUGAGGGAAGUGCUGCAGGCUGAGCUCACCAUUUGCUGCACCCUGAAGAAUCAACGAGCAAGAAAGAUCUGGGAAAAUGCUGGUCAGAGCCCUUUCCUAAGAGACUGAGCUUCAUUAGCUGCUCUCAGGGUUUUGUGCUGGUGGGGGAGUUAGUGCAAGACAUGUCAUUCAAGUGUGAGAACAGUCAUGAGAUUUUGCCUCAGUCACCUGUGACUGCUGUAUGGUAACGGAGCUCCCUGACAGAAUUUGAGGAGUUGUGGAAACUUCCAAGUCUUCUCAAAGUCCAGUGGAUUCAAGUGCUACAAAAUUGUAUUUACACCUCAAUAACAAGAACAGAUUUGUGUGGCUCUGGUCAAGGGCUUUUAGUGGAAGACACUUUCUACAGAUUUGUUUGAGUUUUGUGUGAGAAAUGAUCAUUAAAAGUAAUACUCAUUAAGUGAAGAGAUUCUUUCUUCAAGAUCAUAAAAUCUGGUUUUAGAGGAGUAAUGUAUGGGAUGCAUGUGGCAGAAAGUGACUUGAAUAAGAGGACAGAAGUUGUGGCAGCAAGGCUGUGGAAAGAGUGGUAACAGCAGGAACCUGUUGCAAAUACCUAUGGCUUUAGAAAACAGAGCUGUAUGUACUACAGUCUCUGUGUUCCAUGGAGAAUUAAGAAUUAAUCCAAAGGUUAAGAAUGUGUGCAUGCUACAAGUACUGUAUCUUUGGAAAUGUCAUGACUUGGAAUCUUUCAACUGGGAUGUGUCCUGCAGAACAAGAAGUCAAAAUAUCUGAUUAAUCAAGUGAAGAAUUUAGAAGCUUUGGUUCUUCGGCUCUAAUCCAAGUUCCGAUGAAGUACCGAGUGCUCAGACGAGUGAAGAGAUCAUUCACAGGGUACAUAACCUGUCUGAAGGAUUUUGUGAAUGAUCCCAGAAGAGAAGAGCCUCUAGUUGGUUUAGAACAUGUGGUUGAAGUCAGAUUUGAAGGAAGAAGAGAGCCACGCUACGAGUGCAGGCUGUGUGGGUGUAAUUCAGAGGUGGCACCUAUGAUAGAACAUCUUAGUGGAUAUAAACACAGAAGAGAAUACAUUGUGAGUAAUUUUGAUGCAUUUUGAUCAAAAUUUCUUUAUGAUACUCCCCUUAUUUUUUUUUUCUAAAUAAUUAGAUCAUUUGAAGUUUAAACCCCCAUAUAAUAAAUUGCCAGUAUAGUUGACUCUCUGUGGGUCA